UACGUAGGUGGCAAGCGUUGUCCGGAUUUACUGGGCGUAAAGAGCGCGCAGGCGGUCGUCCAAGUCGCGUGUGAAAGCCCUCGGCUCAACUGGGGAAUGGCAUUGGAAACUAGCUGGCUGGAGUACCGGAGAGGGAAGCGGAAUUCCUGGUGUAGCGGUGAAAUGCGUAGAUACCAGGAGGAACACCGGUGGCGAAGGCGGCUUCCUGGCCGAGUACUGACGCUGAGGCACGAAAGCGUGGGGAGCGAACAGG
rnacentral:rRNA from 1 species